rnacentral:rRNA from 1 species
AUUGAACGCUGGCGGCAUGCCUUACACAUGCAGGUCGAACGGCAGCGCGGACUUCGGUCUGGCGGCGAGUGGCGAACGGGUGAGUAAUACAUCGGAGCGUACCCUGUUGUGGGGGAUAACUAGUCGAAAGAUUAGCUAAUACCGCAUACGACCUGAGGGUGAAAGUGGGGGACCGCAAGGCCUCACGCAGCAGGAGCGGCCGAUGUCUGAUUAGCUAGUUGGUGGGGUAAAGGCCCACCAAGGCGACGAUCAGUAGCUGGUCUGAGAGGACGAUCAGCCACACUGGGACUGAGACACGGCCCAGACUCCUACGGGAGGCAGCAGUGGGGAAUUUUGGACAAUGGGGGCAACCCUGAUCCAGCAAUGCCGCGUGUGUGAAGAAGGCCUUCGGGUUGUAAAGCACUUUUGUCCGGAAAGAAAUCGCGCUGGUUAAUACCUGGCGUGGAUGACGGUACCGGAAGAAUAAGCACCGGCUAACUACGUGCCAGCAGCCGCCGUAAUAC